GCUCGUGUCGUGAGAUGUUUGGUCAAGUCCUAUAACGAGCGAAACCCUCGUUUUGUGUUGCUGAGACAUGCGCCUAAGGAGAAAGUCUUUGCAACCGAAGUGAGCCGAGGAGCCGAGUUACGCGCCAGCGCUACUAAUUGCCAGCACGUAGCUGUGCUGUCAGUAAGAAGGGAGCCGGCGCCUUUCGAAUUCGAAGCACUUUCUAGUGUGCGCUGUUUUUUGAUUGCAGCUAGCGAGCAAGAAAACGGAUGCGCGAACCUCCGCAAGUAAAUAAAGUUUCGCGCAGCUCAAUCCCUUGCUUGUUGCUUUACUAAAUAGAAAGUUUUCUCGCUUGUUUAGUAAAGUCCAGUUUUUGGCCUUCUCUUGCGGGUGACGACGACGUCGAGUUGGCGGCGGAGAAAGACUCGGCAUUCAGGCGAGCCGCCCGGUGGUGUGGUACGUAGUGGGUUUAGUACGCCCCGCCAAAACGGCUCCGAAACAAACUAAAAGGUGCAUGCCGCACUCACGAGGGACUGCCAGUGAGAUACUGGAGGAAGGUGGGGAUGACGUCAAGUCCUCAUGGCCCUUACGGGCUGGGCUACACACGUGCUACAAUGGUGGUGACAGUGGGCAGCGAGACCGCGAGGUCGAGCUAAUCUCCAAAAGCCAUCUCAGUUCGGAUUGCACUCUGCAACUCGAGUGCAUGAAGUUGGAAUCGCUAGUAAUCGCGGAUCAGCAUGCCGCGGUGAAUACGUUCCCGGGCCUUGUACACACCGCCCGUCACACCAUGGGAGUGGGUUGCAAAAGAAGUAGGUAGCUUAACCUUCGGGAGGGCGCUUACCACUUUGUGAUUCAUGACUGGGGUGAAGUCGUAACAAGGUAACCGUAGGGGAACCUGCGGUUG
rnacentral:rRNA from 1 species